CACGUAGGGGGCGAGCGUUGUCCGGAUUUAUUGGGCGUAAAGAGCGCGUAGGCGGCCAGAUAAGUCCGGUGUGAAAGUCAAAGGCUCAACCUUUGAAUGCCGCUGGAAACUGUCUGGCUAGAGUCCGGAAGGGGCGAGUGGAAUUCCUGGUGUAGCGGUGAAAUGCGCAGAUAUCAGGAGGAACACCAAUGGCGAAGGCAGCUCGCUGGAACGGUACUGACGCUGAGGCGCGAAAGCGUGGGGAGCAAACAGG
rnacentral:rRNA from 1 species